rnacentral:tRNA from 1 species
UAUGGCAGACAAGUGCAAUGGACUUAAACCCCAUAAAUGAAAUAAUUUAUUUCUAUUAAAA